rnacentral:tRNA from 1 species
ACCUGGUUGGCUCAGUUGGUUAAGCAUCUGACUUCUGUUCAGGUCAUGAUUUUGCACUCUGUGGGUUCAAGCCCCACAUCAGACU